rnacentral:rRNA from 1 species
GACGAACGCUGGCGGCGUGCCUAAUACAUGCAAGUCGAGCGCAGGAAAUCGACGGAACCCUUCGGGGGGAAGUCGACGGAAUGAGCGGCGGACGGGUGAGUAACACGUAAAGAACCUGCCCUCAGGUCUGGGAUAACCACGAGAAAUCGGGGCUAAUACCGGAUGGGUCAUCGGACCGCAUGGUCCGAGGAUGAAAGGCGCUUCGGCGUCGCCUGGGGAUGGCUUUGCGGUGCAUUAGCUAGUUGGUGGGGUAAUGGCCCACCAAGGCGACGAUGCAUGGCGGACCUGAGAGGGUGAUCGGCCACACUGGGACUGAGACACGGCCCAGACUCCUACGGGAGGCAGCAGUAGGGAAUCUUCCACAAUGGACGAAAGUCUGAUGGAGCAACGCCGCGUGAACGAUGAAGGCCUUCGGGUCGUAAAGUUCUGUUGUAAGGGAAGAACAAGUGCCGCAGGCAAUGGCGGCACCUUGACGGUACCUUGCGAGAAAGCCACGGCUAACUACGUGCCAGCAGCAGCCGCGG